rnacentral:rRNA from 1 species
GCGGUAAUUCCAGCUCCAAUAGCGUAUAUUAAAAUUGCUGCAGUUAAAGCGUCCGUAGUUGAAUUUCGUUCGCACGGGUAGGAUGCCGAUUGAUUCUUUGGAGUCAUCGUGCGCUUUCCCCAGUGAACUUGAGGGAAAUAUCCAGCCUGCUGGAUGUUCUCCUCCGUUACUUUGAGCAAAUUGGAGUGCUCCAACCAGGCUUACGCUUGAACAGCUCAGCAUGGAAUAACAAGAUAGGACUUUGGUUCUUCUUGUUGGUGUCAUGAACCAAAAGUAAUGGUUGAUAAGGACAUACGGGGGCAUUUGUACUUGCUGGAGAGAGGUGAAAUUCUAAGACCCAGCAAAGACAAACAACUGCGAAAGCAUUUGCCCAGUGUGUACCUAUUAAUCAAGGACGAAAGUUGGGGGAUCGAAGACGCUUAGAUACCGUCGUAGUCCCAACUAUAAACUAUGCCGACUGAGGAUCGGAGGCCGUAACAAUACGACUCUUCGGCACUCCAAGAGAAAUCUAAGUCUCUGGGCCCUGGGGGGAGUAUGGUCGCAAGGCUGAAACUUAAAGGAAUUGACGGAAGGGCACCACCAGGAGUGAGCUGCGGCUUAAUUUGACUCAACACGGGGAACCUCACCAGGCCCGGACAUAGUCAUGAUUGACAGAUCGAGAGUUCCUUCUCGAUUCUAUGGGUGGUGGUGCAUGGCCGUUCUUAGUCGGUGAGGUGACUUGUCUGGUUAAUUCCGAUAACGGACGAGACCUCGACCUGCUAACUAGCAGACACUUACAGAUAGUAAGUGUUUAGCUUCUUAGAGGGACUUUGUGAGUCUAUCACAAGGAAGUUCGAGCCUAUAACAGGUCUGUGAUGCCCUUAGAUGGCCUGGGCUGCACGUGCGCUACAAUGACAGAGCCAGCGAGUAUUACCCUUCUUCCGUUCGGAGUGGGCAAUCUUUUGAAACUCUGUCGUGAUAGGGAUUGACCCUUGCAAUUAUGGGUCAUGAACGAGGAAUUCCUAGUAAGAACAAGUCAUCACCUUGUGCUGAUUACGUCCCUGCCCUUUGUACACACCGCCCGUCGCUUCAACCGAUUGGAUGAUCCGGCAAACUGUACAGACAUUUGGAAUUACCUGGAGUUCCUCUAGGCUUUCGAGCGGAAGUACCGUGAGCCUUAUCAUCUAGAGGAUGAAGAAGUCGUAACACGGUUUCCGUAGGUGAACCUGCG